rnacentral:rRNA from 1 species
UAAUACCGCAUACGCCCUACGGGGGAAAGCAGGGGAUCGCAAGACCUUGCACUAUUAGAGCGGCCGAUAUCGGAUUAGCUAGUUGGUGGGGUAAYGGCUCACCAAGGCGACGAUCCGUAGCUGGUUUGAGAGGACGACCAGCCACACUGGGACUGAGACACGGCCCAGACUCCUACGGGAGGCAGCAGUGGGGAAUUUUGGACAAUGGGGGAAACCCUGAU